GGAGUUGGCUCUUUCACUUAAUAAAGGUCGCCCUGUGGUCGAUGGUAUUCCAGAGGGCACUUCGUCAGACUUUGCUACCUCCCACAACAACUCAAGUGACUUGUUGCUGAUGGACACAUUGUAUUAUUGGAUCCAACUGAAACCACACAGUCUGUUGCAAUUAAUGAUGAUGAAGAGACCACAUCUGCUGUGACUGAAUUAGAAAGUGCUGGGAGACCCACAGAGAAUCUAGCUGGGGAUGUACAUGCAGAUGAGGGUCCAUCUACCUCUACACAUAAUCUUAGCAGUUUGUCUGCAAAGGAGGUGUAUAAGGUCUAUCUAUUAAGGCAAAUUAAAAAAAACGGACAAGGACAUGGACCUUAUACAGCUUCAGCUAGAGGAGAAAAGGCUGGCCAUUAAAAAGGCCAGACUUGAAAUAGAACUACUGGAGCAUCGCCUUAAGGAUCUGAAGAAAUAGAACAGAUUAAAUAAAGUGAUUUUGACAAAUCAUGUCUCUAAGCAUUCUGCCAUCUCUGUGGCCUGCUAGAUUCAAUGGGUGUUGUUCUAGGUCAUCUUCAUCAGGACAGUGGGAUGCCUCUCUCCUCUUAUUGUGGCAAUGUUGUGAAGUACCACACAAGCAACUGUGAUGUCACAUGCCCUAUUUGGAGUGACCCCGAGCCCACGCAGACACUGAAACCUCGCCUUCAGAAUGCCUAUUGUCAUCUCCACCGUGGCCCAUGUUCUGCUGUGAGACAGGUUGUUACUUGCUGGGGGACAGAGGAUACCCUUGCCUCCCCUAUAUGAUGACACCCUACCAAGCGUAUCUGUGGUCCGGGCUCAGGAUCAGGGUAGGGUGUCAUCAUAUAGGGGAGGCAAGGGCAUCCUCUGUCCUCCAGCAAGUAACCAUAGAAGUGUCCUGUAUUGUUUGAGGUGUUUUGUAAA